rnacentral:rRNA from 1 species
GGCAUCUGAUGAGGAGUUAAAGAUUUCAUCGCCUUGGAUGGGGAUGCGUAGGAUUUAGGCAGCAGGCGGGGUAACGGCCCACCUGGCCAUCGAUCCUUAGGGGUUCUGAGAGGAAGGUCCCCCACACUGGUACUGACGACACGGACCAGACUCCUACGGGAGGCAGCAGUGAGGAAUAUUUGGUCAAUGGGCGCGAGCCUGAACCAGCCAAGUAGCGUGCAGGAAGACGGCCCUACGGGUUGUAAACUGCUUUUUAUGAGGGGAUAACGUGCGCCACGUGUGGUGUAUUGCAGGUACCUCAUGAAUAAGGACCGGCUAAUUCCGUGCC